GUGGGGAAUAUUGGGCAAUGGGGGAAACCCUGACCCAGCAACGCCGCGUGAGGGAAGAAGGUUUUCGGAUUGUAAACCUCUGUCCUUGGUGACGAAGGAAGUGACGGUAACCAAGGAGGAAGCCCCGGCUAACUACGUGCCAGCAGCCGCGGUAAUACGUAGGGGGCAAGCGUUGUCCGGAAUGACUGGGCGUAAAGGGCGUGUAGGCGGCCGAUUAAGUCUGGAGUGAAAGUCCUGCUUUCAAGGUGGGAAUUGCUUUGGAGACUGGUUGGCUUGAGUGCGGAAGAGGUAAGUGGAAUUCCCAGUGUAGCGGUGAAAUGCGUAGAGAUUGGGAGGAACACCAGUGGCGAAGGCGACUUACUGGGCCGUAACUGACGCUGAGGCGCGAAAGCGUGGGGAGCGAACAGGAUUAGAUACCCUGGUAGUCC
rnacentral:rRNA from 1 species